rnacentral:rRNA from 1 species
CGUUAAUCGGAAUUACUGGGCGUAAAGCGUGCGCAGGCGGUUUUGUAAGUCUGUCGUGAAAUCCCCGGGCUCAACCUGGGAAUUGCGAUGGAGACUGCAAGGCUAGAAUCUGGCAGAGGGGGGUAGAAUUCCACGUGUAGCAGUGAAAUGCGUAGAGAUGUGGAGGAACACCGAUGGCGAAGGCAGCCCCCUGGGUCAAGAUUGACGCUCAUGCACGAAAGCGUGGGGAGCAAACAGG